UACAGAGGUCCCGAGCGUUUGUUCGGAUUUAUUGGGCGUAAAGGGUGCGUAGGCGGCGGAGUAAGUUGGGUGUGAAAUCCCGAGGCUCAACCUCCGGAAUUGCAUUCAAUACUGCUUCGCUCGAGUACUGGAGAGGAGGCUGGAAUUUACGGUGUAGCAGUGAAAUGCGUAGAUAUCGUAAGGAAGGCCGGUGGCGAAAAGCGAGCCUCUGGACAGUUACUGACGCUGAUGCACGAAGGCCAGGGGAGCAAACGGG
rnacentral:rRNA from 1 species